rnacentral:rRNA from 1 species
AUUGAACGCUGGCGGCAGGCCUAACACAUGCAAGUCGAACGAGUGGCGGACGGGUGAGUAAUGUCUGGGAAACUGCCUGAUGGAGGGGGAUCACUACUGGAAACGGUAGCUAAUACCGCAUACCAUCGGAUGUGCCCAGAUGUGAUUAGCUAGUAGGUGGGGUAAAGGCUCACCUAGUCGACGAUCCCUAGCUGGUCUGAGAGGAUGACCAGCCACACUGGAACUGAGACACGGUCCAGACGCCUACGGGAGGCAGCAGGGGGGAAUAUUGCACAAUGGGCGCAAGCCUGAUGCAGCCAUGCCGCGUGGAUGAAGAAGGCAUUCGGGUUGUAAAGUACUUUCAGCGGGGAGGCGUUACCCGAAGAAGAAGCACCGGCUAACUCCGUGCCAGCAGCCGCGGUAAUUC